CUGGUGAAGACAAAGCUUCGGCUGGACUAGAAUAUGAAGUCAAAGAAACCAGAAGAGUUGACACAAACAGAAUAACUGAAUGAUUCGGAGAUACAAAAUGUUCUACAACACAAGAAAACACUGUGGCACCUAUUGGCUUUGUAGCUUUCUAUCGGUAAGUGUUGAAGUGGCAUUGUAGCAGUUGAUGGGAGCAAACAUGUCGGAGACUAUGAGAGGAAGGAGGACCUAUCCCAGGAAGCCUGGACCUACAGUGCAGCCAUCCAUAAAGUAGAAAGCACUACUAGACAGGCCUGAACGCUGUAGUGUUUCCUACUUUAUGGAUGAGUGUACUGGACACUACAAGACAUCAUCUGGACAAAACGGGAACACACAAUGGAAAGCAUUUACUGCUAACAGCACCUGCUUAUUUCAUUAAAGUUAUAAUUAAUGUAUAAUGCUGUAUUCAGUAGAUAAAAACACUGAGCAGCAGGAGAAUGUCUUUUCUAAACCAACAAUCAGCCAUAUUUUAUUAUUUUUAUCACAAGUUGUUUACGUGUAGCAAAAUAAAAUAAAUAGCGAUGCAUUGAAAGGAUAAAUUGUAUAUUUGAUCAUGGGGAGAAUUAUCAAUCCUUUCCAAAGAGGACAAGUGGAGAAAACCAAUCAGAUUCUAGCUAACAUUUAUAUACUAAGUGUUAUAAAAUGAAAGUUAGAAUCUGAUUGGUUGCUAUGUGCAACUGUUCCUUUUUACAAGGUUUGAUAAGCCUCUUCCCCUAUAAUCUGAGUACAAGCUGUUCUGCUCUUGCAUGUGGAAUACAGAAAGGUAUCACGUAUGAGUUUAGGAUUAUUUGCUUACAUUUAUAUUUUGCUACAAAAUGCUUGUUACAAUGCACCUGAUAACCCAACGAGGGAUGCUACACCUGGACUGGAUGUACGGCAGCACAUGCAGUGCAGUUACCCAUAAAGUAGAAAGCACUACUAGACAGGACUGAACGCUGUAGUGUUUCCUACUUUAUGGAUGAGUGUACUGGACACUACAGGACAUCAUCUGGAGUCCGAAGACAGAAGACUCUUCUUUGUUUACUGUAUAUCAUUUGCAGAAAUUUUGUCUCAACACUGUAAUCAUAGCUGUCUAAAUAAAUGGCAUUGUGUAGAUGACAUCAUAUGUAUCCAUAAAAUAAAUCUAAUUAUGAAGUUA